AAUCAACGCUGGCGGCGUGCCUAACACAUGCAAGUCGAACGCGAAAGUCCCGCAAGGGGGCAAGUAGAGUGGCAAACGGGUGAGUAACACGUGGGUGACCUGCCUUCGAGUGGGGGAUAACGUCCCGAAAGGGACGCUAAUACCGCAUGACAUCCUGCUUUUGGAAAAGCGGAGAUCAAAGCCGGGGAUCGCAAGACCUGGCGCUCGAAGAGGGGCCCGCGCCUGAUUAGCUAGUUGGGAGGUAACGGCUCACCAAGGCUACGAUCAGUAUCCGGCCUGAGAGGGCGGACGGACACACUGGGACUGAGACACGGCCCAGACUCCUACGGGAGGCAGCAGUGGGGAAUUGUUCGCAAUGGGCGCAAGCCUGACGACGCAACGCCGCGUGGAGGAUGAAGAUUUCGGAUCGUAAACUCCUGUCGAGUGGGAAGAAC
rnacentral:rRNA from 1 species